rnacentral:rRNA from 1 species
GAUGAACGCUGGCGGCGUGCCUAAUACAUGCAAGUCGAGCGAACAGAUCAGGAGCUUGCUCCUUUGACGUUAGCGGCGGACGGGUGAGUAACACGUGGAUAACCUACCUAUAAGACUGGGAUAACUUCGGGAAACCGGAGCUAAUACCGGAUAACAUAUUGAACCGCAUGGUUCCAUAGUGGAAGGCGGCUUUGCUGUCACUUAUAGAUGGGUCCGCGCCGUAUUAGCUAGUAGGUAGGGUAACGGCUUACCAAGGCAACGAUGCGUAGCUGGCCUGAGAGGACGGUCAGGCACACUGGGGGUGGGACACGGCCGAGAUUCCCACGGGAGGGAGAAGGGGGGAAUAUGCGACGACGGGCGAGAGACUAAGCUAGCAGGGCCGUAAAACUGUUGAAGGAGUGAGGAUCGAAAAGCUCUUUAACCCGGGAUGAUAAUGCCGGUACUGGGAAAAUAACCUCCGGCUAACUCCGUG